CCAUAAGUACAUAAUUUAAAGAUUAAUAAAUGAAAAAUGAUGAAGGGUUUGCUGAUUCUCUGCUCAUGCCUGGAUGACACAUACAGUCCUAAUUUGCCUUUGACAUGGCAGGGGUGCAGGGACUUACUUCAUGGACGUAAAACGGGGGUAAAGGCUUUGUUGGAGGCAAUGGUAUUCCCUGUGCCAUUCCCCUGGAGGAAGCAGGAGGUGGAACACUGGGCUUCACAAACUGCAAUAAAAGACUCUUUUAACCACCAUGAAAGACAGACGGACACACUAAAACAAAUUUCCCAUAAUUACUACCCAUGUGGAGGAAUACUGCUUAAA